CUCAGAUGGUAGACCGGUCGGCCAAAAACUUGGGGGUUCCCGGUUUGAAUCCAGCUCUUGCCAUACUAGUCACUGUCGUUGUGUCCUUGGGAUGUUAAGGAUCUCUCCUCUGGUGCCUGUAACAGAUUUGGACUGCAGAGUGCACAGCACUUAACCACCUCCGCCUACGUGCUCCCUCCUCCUCGCGUCCAUAUGAGUGGCCUCCCCCUCUCGGAUGCCGACUAUUAGGAUGUUUACAUAUUCCUAAUAAGAUAAAGGAUGAAUCAUAAUCCUCACGAAGAAAAAG